GGAAGGAGAGGACAUCACCAGGUGACGGGAAAGCCAAGAAACCACAAGCGUUGCCAGGCAGCCAGCACCAGAACACUUCCGGCCCUGGGAGGAAGCAAGACUUCUAACCUCCCAAACCAUGAGACAGUAGCCCUCCAAGGCAGAUGGGAAGGGAGUUGUGGCCUCCCAGUGUUUCCUGUUAUGGAAAAAUCGUACAGCCUGAUUUAGAGUCUGCCCUUGCUGUGAUUUCUCUCACUUGGAGACAUUAUCCUCAGAGGUUUAACCUUCCUGGCAUAUCUGUAGUCACCAACCAACAGCAAUGAAUCUUCUCAAUCUCUGUGGCUCAUAAAGCAGCAGCCCAUUAGUUAGAGGCUGCUGGAGUUCUGAUGGGGUGGAAACGAAGGCACCGAAGGUGUCUGCUGGGUCCACGUGGGAGCUGUGGUGCCAGCUUCUGGGAACCGGCUCUGGGCCCACGCUGGAGGCGAGUGUAGCUUCUGUAAUCCUGCACAGCCUCUGCAGAAAUGACUCCAGGGAGAGCUCAGGGCAGCCAGGAGACAGAACUGUGAGCUUGACUCAGGAAGAAAAUCACCUUGCAUUUCCGUUGAGAGUCUUUUUUUCUUCUUCUUUUUUUUCCUUUGGUUUUAAGGAGGUGAAUUGGCUUGAGUAUUGUGAGAACUAGAGGAUUCAGGAAAUGAGACGGCAGGUCAGCAGGCACAGCCAACCUUGCAGCUAAUCCCUCGCUGGGGAGAGAAUGCUAGCAAGUUCCCACACAGUGAACUAGAAUAACCCCCUGCCCCUUCCUCCUUCCUCUUUUUAAGCACUAAGAGGAGGUGAUAGCAUGAAAACAAUGGAGCCUUUCACUGCCAUCCAUUUUCAUAUUUUCAUCUUCACUAGUUUCAAACCACUCCUCAUACCGGGUCUGAACUGUGAGCCAGCUGGGAGGUCUGGAUCUCCCCGACAUGUUCCACCAGCUCUGGGCGAGCAGCUUCAUGGUGACCUGAGGAGGAGACCACCCACCCUGGGAGGGCGCUCAAACCGCAGCCUUAGACUACAGGGAUGUGGCGGUCACAGGGGUGGAGUCUCAGCACUGGAAGGGUGGCAAGAGUGUAACAAUGGCCGCCACCAAGAACUCAACCCUAGGGGAACCACCCCACUGCUCGGCUGGCAGGCGACGGGGUCGCCAACGGAAGCACAACUCCCGCAGCCCUGGAUGGAACGUGUGCAAGCCCUGCAGAGAGCAGAGGGGGAGGAGGAGGGCCAAGAAGGAUCCAUGACAAAUGUUCCUUGUGCCUCCCUCCGGAAAGGACCCACAGAGCAGAGUCAGGGACCGCUGGGCUGGGCUACUGAAGUUGGCAUGUCUUGGGGGACUUCUCCACUGUCCUGGCAUGUUGGACAAGCUACAAAGUUGACACCAGCAGCCUCUUCACAAGGCCCAUAGGGAUGAAAAGAUGUGCUGCUCCCAGUGCUGGAGUGGCUGGCAGCCCUGCUGCCCACGGCUGGGUUGGGGUCCAGGAUCCACCUGCUCUCUUCCUCUCGAGAACCCAGCAGGAGAACGUCUCACCCCUGGCUCAAGGGUUUUUUCUGUUACCCAGCACUCUCAGGCCAGAAAUCUCAAUGCAUUCCAACUCCUUCCAGUAUUGUAGGAGAGAUCAGUCUGCUCAUGGUCUGGGGAAUAGGGAGCUAAGGCUUAAAAUGUAGAGUUUCUAUAUGAAAUGAUGGAAAUUUUUGAUAAUGGAUGGUCAUGACAGUAGCACAACAUUGUGAAUGUAAUUAACAGCACUGAAAUGUA